AACUUUCAACAACGGAUCUCUUGGCUCUCGCAUCGAUGAAGAACGCAGCGAAAUGCGAUAAGUAAUGUGAAUUGCAGAAUUCAGUGAAUCAUCGAAUCUUUGAACGCACCUUGCGCUCCUUGGUAUUCCGAGGAGCAUGCCUGUUUGAGUGUCAUGAAAUUCUCAACCUUUUCAGCUUUUUGUUGAAUAGGCUUGGAUUUUGGGAGUUGUUGCAGGCUGCUCAGAAGUCUGCUCUCCUUAAAUGUAUUAGCGGGGCCCUUGUUGUCUAGCAUUUGGUGUGAUAAUUAUCUACGCCAUUGUGAACAAUGUAAUAGGUCGGCUUCUAAUCGUCUCGUAAAGAGACAAUCUCUGACAUU
rnacentral:rRNA from 1 species